rnacentral:tRNA from 1 species
GCCUGGGUGGCUCAGCAGGUUGAGCAUCUGACUUCGGCUCAGGUUCAUGAGUUUGAACCCCAUGUUGGGCU